AGCCUGAUCACUUGUGGCACCAUAACCACUACAGCAUGCUGUAGUGGUGAUGGUGCUGUGAGUGUUCCUUUA